rnacentral:rRNA from 1 species
GAUUAACGCGAAGAACCUUACCUACCCUUGACAUGUACGGAACCCUGCAGAGAUGUGGGGGUGCUUGAAAGAGAGCCGUAACACAGGUGCUGCAUGGCUGUCGUCAGCUCGUGUCGUGAGAUGUUGGGUUAAGUCCCGCAACGAGCGCAACCCUUGUCCCUAGUUGCUACGCAAGGGCACUCUAGGGAGACUGCCGGUGACAAACCGGAGGAAGGUGGGGAUGACGUCAAGUCCUCAUGGCCCUUAUGGGUAGGGCUUCACACGUCAUACAAUGGCCGGUACAGAGGGUUGCCAAAGCGCGAGCUGGAGCCAAUCCCCAUAAAAGCCGGUCGUANUCCNGAUUGCAGUCUGCAACUCGACUGCAUGAAGUCGGAAUCGCUAGUAAUGGCAUAUCAGAACGAUGCCGUGAAUACNUUCCCGGGCCUUGUACACACCGAAUCACUAGU